UUUAACUGCAGGAUGGCUAUGCUAUACAAAGCUUUAAGUGAGGAAUGGCUGCACAAAAGAGUCAAUUUUUUUUCAACACAUAAAUUUUGCAUUUGGUAUAAUUUCUCUCAUUAAAAUGUUUUUGUUCUUUUCUGCGGAGUGAGUAUAUUAGAUAAACCUUUUUAUUAGUUUGUUUAUAUUUGGGGUUUGCUUGAUUUCCAUAUUUAAUGUUUUCAACAUUUAUUUGUUUUGACUUUAUAAGAUCUUUUUAUCUCACACACAUAUACACUCAUACAUAUAAAUAUAUAUUGUUAAUAUUUUCCUUCUGUUUUUCAGACAUCGUGCAUUAGUUUCAAUCGCAGCCCAAACUCUGCAAGAUUUCAGUCAAGUGUAUUUGGCUCUGCUGUUCCAAGCGGAUCAUCUGUUUUACAGGGAUGCAAUGUCAAGAGAGUCCUACCCAUUAAAGCAACGACCACUAAAUUGCCACCAACUGUUCAGAAAUUGAAGACCGGUGGGAAGUCAAAGGUUGGGAUCAAUGGUUUUGGUCGGAUUGGAAGAUGGUUUUACGAGUAGCAAUAUUCAGGGAUGAUAUUGACGUGGUGGCAGUGAAUGAUCCUUUUAUUGAUGCUAAAUACAUGGUAAGGAUGUCAAGCUAGC